UACGGAGGGUCCAAGCGUUGUUCGGAAUCAUUGGGCGUAAAGCGCGUGUAGGCGGUCGGGUAAGUCGGAUGUGAAAGCCCGGGGCUCAACCCCGGAAUUGCAUUCGAUACUGCCUGGCUAGAGUCCCGGAGAGGAUGGCGGAAUUCCCGGUGUAGAGGUGAAAUUCGUAGAUAUCGGGAGGAACACCAGUGGCGAAGGCGGCCAUCUGGACGGUGACUGACGCUGAGACGCGAAAGCGUGGGGAGCAAACAGGAUUAGAUACCCCCGUA
rnacentral:rRNA from 1 species